rnacentral:rRNA from 1 species
AUUGAACGCUGGCGGCAUGCUUCACACAUGCAAGUCGAACGGCAGCGCGGGGCAACCUGGCGGCGAGUGGCGAACGGGGACGUAAUAUAUCCGAACGGACCCAGAAGUUGUGGAUAACGUAGCAAAAGUUACGCUAAUACCUCAUACGAUCUACGAUUUAGAGUAGGGGGCCGCAAUGGCUUAUGCUGUUGUAGCUGCCGAUAUCUGAUUAGCUAGUUGGCGAGGUAAAGGCUCACCAAGGCGACGAUCAGUAGCUGGUCCGAGAGGACGACCAGCCACACUGGAACUGAGACACGGUCCCGACUCCUACGGGAGGCAGCAGUGGGGAAUUUUGGACAAUGGGGGCAAGCCUGAUCCAGCAAUGCCGGCUGAGUGAAGAAGGCCUUCGGGUUGUAAAGCUCUUUUGUCAGGGAAGAAACGGUAGAGGCUAAUAUCCUUUGCUAAUGACGGUACCUGAAGAAUAAGCACCGGCUAACUACGUG